rnacentral:rRNA from 1 species
UGGGGAAUAUUGCGCAAUGGACGAAAGUCUGACGCAGCGACGCCGCGUGUGGGAUGAAGCCUUUCGGGGUGUAAACCACUGUUGCCCGGGACGAAACUCCUUUUUCGAGAGGACUGACGGUACCGGGUGAGGAAGCACCGGCUAACUCUGUGCCAGCAGCCGCGGUAAUACAGAGGGUGCGAGCGUUGUCCGGAAUCACUGGGCGUAAAGGGCGCGUAGGUGGCGGGAUAAGUAUGUGGUGAAAGCCCGGGGCUCAACCCCGUGUCUGCCAUGUAGACUGUCUUGCUUGAGCAUAGUAGAGGCAAGUGGAAUUCCGGGUGUAGCGGUGGAAUGCGUAGAGAUCCGGAAGAACACCGGUGGCGAAGGCGGCUUGCUGGGCUAUUGCUGACACUGAGGCGCGACAGCGUGGGGAGCAAACAGG